GAAAAAUUGAAAGGAUCCAAAUAUUAACUCAAUAUAAAUUUUAGGCAGAAAAAACAAAAGGAAAAGAAAAAAAGUUUUUGAAUCAGCCCUGUUCCAAUUCAAACUAGCUGGUUCCAGUACUGGUUCAUGGAGGGGGAGGCCCGUUCACCGAGGUUCAAGGACUAGAACUGUUGACCUGGGCCAGUCCUGGUCCAGUUCACAGGCCGGACCGGACCGGCCCUUGGCCAGGUCUAUUCAUAUAGCAUUCCAGUCCUUGAAGUUUGUCCAUAAUUACAGGUCAGGACAAAAGCUUUUGGAAAUCAUAAUCACAUUGUAAAUUAACUAUUAAAUUCAAAGGUAAUAAUUGCCAUUACAAGCAAUCAAAGAAAGGCAAACACAAACCAACCAUGCAACACUAUAGCAAAGCAACAUGCAUCACUAUAGCAAAGCAACAUGCAUCAACAAAACAAUAACCUCGUGAUCUACAGUGCCAUAACCAGCCAUGAAACAUUCUUCCUCCACAAGUAGCAAUAAGUGUUAACAGUAGAUUUACUUGGGGCGGAGGAGACUUUUUUGGAACUCUGGAUGUGGCUUUUCUGAAGCAAAUGCCCAGGAGUCAACAGGUCUGUGAUCUCUUAUCCAGGCUUAUACAGACCAUCUUCUUGACUACCAUUGUCCCUUUUUUUUCCCUUUUGCUUUAUUGAUCUUUCAACUUUACUAUGCUUUUGUUUUAAAUUCUUGGAAAGUUUUAUUGUAUCCUCCACAUCAAGUUUUCAAAUCAAAUCAGCAAUAUUGACUGAAGAAUCAGAAGCUGUUAAUGUUGACUUAUCAGGAAAUCCUAACCACAUGAUUGAAGGUAAUUAGGGAGGAUGCUUGGAGGAGAAAGAAAACAAAAUGGAAGCAGAGGAUCUCAAUCAUAGUUGCCCAUAAGAAGGUGCUCCUUUGAAAAAUUAAAAACAAAUAAAUAAAAAAGAAAAAGAAAGAGACCUACUUUUUUACUUCAUAGCCAUCAAAAUUAAGGGUAACUAACAAUUAUAGUUACUUUGUCAGCAAAAAUAUGUGAUUUGAUAUAAUUAUGUUUCUUGCAAACUUUAGGGCAGGAAGGUAAUUUAUCCAAAAUAUCAUUGCAUGGAUUCUAAUUUAUGAAUUUCUACAUCCAUGGGCAAGUAAACAAAACUACACAUCUCUCCCUUCAGUCCAUAUAUGCUGGAACACCCCUAUAUUCCACGAAGCAAACAAGAUGUACUGUGUAAGCAAAAUUUUAAAAAUAAAAAGAAUAAAAGAAGGAAUAAUACAGUGGAUAAAGCACAUGAACAUGAAACAAGCACAUUAAACCACAUCCUGCCUGCAUCUAUGAUCUCCUUUUCUCUCUCUCACUGAGACAAGUAAGAUAAGCUAACAAUUUUAGUGUCUAAUAGCUAAAACUUACAUUGCCUGUGCAAAGUUCUGC
rnacentral:misc_RNA from 1 species